rnacentral:tRNA from 1 species
GCGGGAUUAGUUUAGUGGCAAAAUACGACCUUGCCAAGGUUGAGACACGAGUUCGAUUCUCGUAUCCCGCA